rnacentral:rRNA from 1 species
CAGUCGCCACGGUAAUACGUAGGUGGCAAGCGUUGUCCGGAAUUAUUGGGCGUAAAGGGCUCGCAGGCGGUUUCUUAAGUCUGAUGUGAAAGCCCCCGGCUCAACCGGGGAGGGUCAUUGGAAACUGGGAAACUUGAGUGCAGAAGAGGAGAGUGGAAUUCCACGUGUGGCGGUGAAAUGCGUAGAGAUGUGGAGGAACACCAGUGGCGAAGGCGACUCUCUGGUCUGUAACUGACGCUGAGGAGCGAAAGCGUGGGGAGCGAGCAGGAUUAGAUACCCCCGUAGUCCCUGUCUCUUAUAC